rnacentral:lncRNA from 1 species
AUGUCUCUUUCAAUCCCCCCCGCACCCCCCCCCCGCCCCCCGCAACUCGCAAAUCGUUACGCUGGGCACGGGUCGGCCGUCAGCCUCCACGCUGGCCCCCGAGGCGGACAGGGAGGACCCCGGGAUUCCCUAUUUCAGCGACAGUGCAGAGCCGGUGCCCGCCGCGAACACCGGGGAGACCCCCAGAGGUCACUUACGGGGGGGAGGGGGCGCCCUUCGUGGCCGCUGGUGCACAGCGGGCGAAAGGCGUGCAAAGGCGCGGGGGCGGGGUGGGCCGCCUCUGUGCAGGUGCCGAGGCGCGGAGCGCGGGGAGCCCCCCACCCCCACCCCCGGGGGGCCGGGACGCGGCCGCUGCGGCGGGAGCGCACAGGGCGGGGUGGCGCUGGCCGCGUGCGGGGCUCUUGGUGCGGGACGCGGGGUGACGAGGUGGGGAGAACCCCGGAACCGAGCGCGAUCCGGGGGGCGCCGACAGGGGGCGGCGUCGGGGCUCCGAGACCCGGGCGGGGAGAGCGGGAGGGACCGGGCGGCGGGGGCGCGCUCGGCGGGCGCGGGGCGGGGCGUGGGGCGGCCCGGGGGCCGGGCCCCGCCGCGGGGAGACGCGCGGCCGCCGCGCUGCCCUCCCCGGGCCCCCGCCGCGGGGCUUGCGGCUUAUUUUCCCAGCUGGCAGGCGUCGCGCUGCAGACAAGGGAAUGCCUGUGGUCCUGCGUGCUCCAGAGUUCGGGGGCCCCCUGAUCCCGCCCAGCCCCCUCCAGGAGCGGAAGGGUUAAGCAUGAUGUAAGUACGAUCCGCUAGCUGCUCGCUGCGGGGCUGUGGGACUCCGGGCGGCUUCAGCCCCCGCUUUGCGUGCACCCUGGGCCGGGGGACAGCGAGGGCGCCCCGAGAGGGGGCUGCACACACCGCAACCGCGGUCUGAGUCCUCGCUCUCCUGCCCUAGGGCGAUCUAGGGGGACCGUCGCGUUAGAUUCCUGGAAAGGGGAGAUGUGUUAACAGGGAACUAAAGACGGCGCGUAUAGGGUCAGCGAAAGAAACCUCUAAGUCUUCUUUAGAUGCCUUUCAUGUUGCGGGCGUGCGUUUUAAUUCUGUUCAUUCGCACGUUCAGACCAUGGGAUGCUCUGCCGUGUGUCCCCUAAUUGUGAUGCUCUGGCCUCACCUUUUCUCCCGGAAAACAAAGAUGAAGGGAGGAAGAGUACAAGUGGCAGGAAAUAGGGUGAUCUUGUGAGUUGGGCAAGCUGUCACUUCACGAUUUUUUCUUCCAGAUUAAAACGUAAAACUUUUAUAAGUCAUUGAUUUUAUUGGGGUGGGGAGGGGAAUCCCCAGAUUUUUCGUUAUAGCAUCUUAAAAUCCUCCUCACUUGCAGCAUUCGAGCUGGGGAUGGGGUGGGGGGGGGGCGGUGGAUGCGCUAUGAGCGACCAUUCGCGACGCUCUUGCUCUCCAGGCCGAUUCAGGAUCUUGCUAACAGUCCGAAUUUGCCCUGUGAGUGUGUCGAGUGACCUGAAGUCUUGAAAACAGGAACCACCUUGCGGUUUAAUUGUGAAAAUUAACAUUUUUACUCUAGCCGGCCGAACACUUAUGUGGUAAUAAAAAAUGAAUUGUUAGGCUUAUAAAUCUUGAG